rnacentral:lncRNA from 1 species
AAACAUCUCAGAAUGAUAUUAACAACUCUGACACUCUUGCUGGAUUCACCAUCAUGUCCAACGAUGUUGUGGACACAACCCUGGACGGCGCAACAGUAGUGUUAGAAAGAGAAGGACUACUCUCUCAGGAUAGAAGCUCCAAUGAAGAGUUUGAUGAUCGCCUUCUGUCUAUCGGACCGUGUAUUACUACUGAUCACCAUGGCACUGAGAUCAAACUUUUGGGUGGCAAGCCAACAGAUGAAGGUAUCAAUAAUUUACUUGAUGAAGAGAAAGAUGUAGAACUGUACACAGGGCAGAUAAUUGAGGCUGUCACACAGGACUUACUAACAAGUGAGACUUCUUCCAGUACUGAAACAUCAAAGGAGAGGGUGUUUUCUGAAUGUGACCCUAAAAUUACAUGCAAAGAAACUGCUUCAGGAACGCACCUAGAUUGUGCUCAUCCUAGGAAAUCAGUGGAUCGUAUCUUGCAGGAUAAUAAACUGCAUAGUGUUAACACACCUAGGGAACUAUUACCCAGAAACACUCCACAACUGGCUAAUUCUGUUGCUUCCGUCUUGUAUCACAACAUGUUUGACAGUGAAUCCUCCAGACAAUCCACACAUUACUCCAGCUCUCAGAUCAGCUGUGAUGUUAGUUUGUGUGAGACCACCACGGAACAGGAACUGAAAGAAUUUACACAGCCCUUGUCAGGGUCUGUCAUAAAUCUCCUCAAAGACAUGUUUGGAGAGAAAGCCCAGACUCUGAAAACGACCAAGGACCCAAUCCAGCUCAUCACAAACCCAACUUCAGAGACACUCUUCUUUAUGCCCCACGUCAACAAUAAAGACACAGUUGUGCACAAAAUUGCCAUUGAAGACCUGUGUGCAAUGGAUGCCAUGAAGAAUAUGAUUCCUCCUAACGACUCAAAGAGGGUUAAGACCCCAUCCGCCCCUAGGACCAAAAGUGAGAGAUUCUCUCGGCCCUCAAGUCCAACUCAUAACCUCUUACUGGCAGUUGUAGAAAAACUGGUCAAGAAAAUGACUGUUCACAGUCUCAGCAUCCCAGAGGCUUCCAAUGAGGCUGCCUGCAAACAGUUAUCAUGUUGUUCUCCAAAUGGACCUCUUUCAGAGUUUCAGCAUCAACUGAUUUCUAGGCUCUGCCCUGUGCUUGUGUCUGACAUUAUGGAAUCGCUUUCCAGUGAAAUCGUCAGCCCUGAUGAUUUAGGUGAAUCAGCUUGCCAAUCACCUGUGCAAGUUAUCGAAGAUGGAAUGGUAAGGUCUGGAAACGCAAGUGCCGACGUCUCAAAUCAUUGUGUUCAAGAGGACACCUGUGUCCAAGAGGGCAACGGUAUAGCCAGUGAGAGAGUGACCGAUGAAUCUGUUGAUAUUCUGGAAAGGGCUGUGUAUGACAUUGAGUCUGCGAUGACUGAUGCUGCAAAACAGUCUUGCUCUAGCCUUCCAUCCAAAACAGAUGUCGUCGUAGACGUCAUCACUAAGCUGAUCUCUGAUAUUGAGUCUGGCAGUAACUCACCGACACAUCUCACGAACAUGGCAGUUGACAUGGUGGUAACGGUGUUGGAUGAUCUAUCAGAGGAUACUAAAAUGAUUUCAAUUCCAGCAUCUCCUGACCACUUUCAUUCUCAAGUGAAAUACACCAGGCCCCCAAGUUGUAGGAUCGUAAGCAGUGUUCGCAAGGAGCUUGAGGAACAGAUUGGUUCCGCUGAUUCCCUCAAGCGAGCUCUAAACUCUGAAAGCACAGAAGUCACCAAGGCCAUCUCGAGUGCCGUUGCAAGGGAAGUCUCUACACUCCUUUCAGAAUCAGUAGCUCGUCACAUAGCCUUUACUUCCAGCUCUGACUCUCUGUUAAGCGCACCUGCUACGACCUUGGCACCUGCCGUGCGACCACUAACUGCUGUCAUCAGACCUGACGUCCCUAACGACCCUGACUGUUUGGCUAAUCCCUACCACAGAUGUGCAUCUUCCAUGGAUACCAAGCCUUUAAUGAUGAUGGUGCACCUUGGGACAGUCAAGGAUAUUGUCAGCAGACUCC